CUACGGGGGGCUGCAGUGAGGAAUAUUGCACAAUGGGGGGAACCCUGAUGCAGCAACGCCGCGUGGAGGAUGACGCAUUUCGGUGUGUAAACUCCUUUUAUAUGUCAAGAAAAUGACGGUAGCAUAUGAAUAAGCGCCGGCUAACUCCGUGCCAGCAGCCGCGGUAAUAAGGAGGGCGCAAGCGUUACUCGGAAUCACUGGGCGGAAAGGACGCGUAGGCGGGUUGAAAAGUCAGGUGUGAAAGCCUACAGCUUAACUGUAGAACUGCACUUGAAACUCUCAAUCUAGAGUAUGGGAGGGGCAGAUGGAAUUAGUGGUGUAGGGGUAAAAUCCGUAGAUAUCACUAGGAAUACCUAAAGCGAAGGCGAUCUGCUGGAACAUUACUGACGCUAAGGCGUGAAAGCGUGGGGAGCAAACAGGAUUAGAUACCCUAGUAGUC
rnacentral:rRNA from 1 species